rnacentral:rRNA from 1 species
GUGGGGAAUUUUGGACAAUGGGCGCAAGCCUGAUCCAGCCAUUCCGCGUGCAGGAUGAAGGCCUUCGGGUUGUAAACUGCUUUUGUACGGAACGAAAAGCCUCUGGUUAAUACCCGGGGGUCAUGACGGUACCGUAAGAAUAAGCACCGGCUAACUACGUGCCAGCAGCCGCGGUAAUACGUAGGGUGCGAGCGUUAAUCGGAAUUACUGGGCGUAAAGCGUGCGCAGGCGGUGAUGUAAGACAGUUGUGAAAGCCCCGGGCUCAACCUGGGAACUGCAUGUGAGACUGCAUUGCUGGAGUGCGGCAGAGGGGGAUGGAAUUCCGCGUGUAGCAGGGAAAUGCGUAGAUAUGCGGAGGAACACCGAUGGCGAAGGCAAUCCCCUGGGCCUGCACUGACGCUCAUGCACGAAAGCGUGGGGAGCAAACAGGAUUAGAAACCCCUGUAGUCC